rnacentral:rRNA from 1 species
UACAGAGGUCUCAAGCGUUGUUCGGAUUCAUUGGGCGUAAAGGGUGCGUAGGUGGCGCCGUAAGUCGGGGUGUGAAAUUUCGGAGCUUAACUCCGAAACUGCAUUCGAUACUGCGGUGCUUGAGGACUGGAGAGGAGACUGGAAUUUACGGUGUAGCAGUGAAAUGCGUAGAGAUCGUAAGGAAGACCAGUGGCGAAGGCGGGUCUCUGGACAGUUCCUGACACUGAGGCACGAAGGCCAGGGGAGCAAACGGGG